GCAGUCCAGCCCAUAAAGAUUAAGGGCACAUGACCUUAGAAGGGGUUUUUUUCAAAGUCAGAUUCUUCAUUUGCUAAUUUUCCACUCUCUCUCUAAAACCCAUUUUCCCUAAAUAUUGCUCUGCCUUCUCUCUAAAAUACUACUAUGUUGAAUUGUUCAAUCUUUGGUUUGAAGGUGCCUAAGCGCUCGCGGCUUCGAGGGCUUCAUUCUAAACCGAUUACUUUCUCCGUCUCCUUCCCGGCGUUGUUGUGCUCCGCUGUGUGGGUACUGUCUUAGGACACUCUUAGCAAGUGGUACUGUUAAGCUUUCCAGAUGGCAAGGAGAUACUUUGGAAACAAAUCUUGAUGGGGAUGACAGUGCUACAGUCUAGUUCUCUAGGCUUUAAUUCUCUUGUCCUAGGAUAUUUUGAAGAAACUUUAUUAUGUUCUAAGUUUUUAAUUCCUUGUAUUUUCAGGGAGAAACUUUAGUACUCCACUUCCAAAUUCUAAGUAUUGUUUAAGGAUGACUGUAAUCCUAUUACUUUUAACUGCUUUCUAGUAUUAUUCAU